UACGUAGGGAGCAAGCGUUGUUCGGAUUUACUGGGCGUAAAGGGCGCGUAGGCGGCGCGGUAAGUCACUUGUGAAAUCUCUGAGCUUAACUCAGAACGGCCAAGUGAUACUGCAGUGCUAGAGUGCAGGAAGGGGCAAUCGGAAUUCUUGGUGUAGCGGUGAAAUGCGUAGAUAUCAAGAGGAACACCUGAGGUGAAGACGGGUUGCUGGGCUGACACUGACGCUGAGUGCGCGAAAGCCAGGGGAGCAAACGGG
rnacentral:rRNA from 1 species